UUAAUAAAUUUUCAAACACUAUUUUAUGAUGUUGUGGUUGCUUAGUAAUCGUUGUUAGGUAAAUUUUAGGAUUAAACAAAGUGAAGGAAAUUGAUUAAAUGUUUGAAUUAUAUCAAAUUUCAUCAAGAAUGAUUUAAAUUUCAUUUAUAAAUUGUUAUAAAACUUAAUAAGUUGAGUGUAGGUCUCUCCACUUAGAUAUGUCAAAUAUGAAUUUUCGGUUGCUUGGCAACCGUGUCAAAAUUUGUAAUCAAAAUGGUGGAGAAAGAAAAUUAUUAUCAGAUUUCUUGCGAAAAUUAAAUAAAUUGAAGAAAAUUUUGGAAAAAAAUAACGCAGAUAACUUACGUAAAACUCGAUGACGUACGUCUUGGAUACUUUCAGAAACAAAUAGCGUCAUCGUUGCCAUGGUAACGACGAGAGACAGAGAUGGAAACGUGACGCAAGGAUUUUAUUAUAUCGAGAUGAAAUCAAAAUUACAGCAAGAAUUUGAUAGAAAAAGCGUUUAUGUUGAAAAAAAUAAUUAAUAAAAAAGAAAGGUCUUUUUUUGUAGAAAAAGUAUUUUUAGAAAAUCCCUCACAAAUACAUUAACACAGCUUGUUACAAAGACGUAACCUUGAACAAUUAUAAAUUAACAAAAUCGUUUUGAUUUUUGUAAAUAAAUAGUUUUUGUGCCACCCCGAAUUAGUUUCUUAAUCAAAUUUCGAAACGAAUUUGCACGUUAGUAAUCGUCGCGACACAAUAACCUCUAAAUCAAUUUAGAACACGUGUACGAAGUUCGUAAUGGAAACUAUACGAUGUAGGUCAAAAUUCGGCCAUUUCUGGCCCAGAAAAAUAUAUAAAACACGAUUAAAACUUGAUUUUUAAGGAUUUAUUUCUUUUCCGAAAAAUAAAUAACCUUCUCGAAACGUUUUUUGAGGGUUACAAUUUUCGAUGUCGUCGUAGUCACAUUUCACUCGAUUUUAAAAACGAAACUUAUUUUAAUAGGAUAUCGAUGAUGACCGCGGGUUUUGUUUACCUUU